rnacentral:rRNA from 1 species
UUCGGUGGUCAUAGCGAUGGGGUAACGCCCGGUUACAUUUCGAACCCGGAAGCUAAGCCUGUCAGCGCCGAUGGUACUGCAUGCGGGAGCGUGUGGGAGAGUAGGACGCCGCCGAAC